AUUGAACGCUGGCGGCAUGCUUUACACAUGCAAGUCGAACGGUAACAGGGUGCUUGCACCGCUGACGAGUGGCGAACGGGUGAGUAAUGCGUCGGAACGUGCCGAGUAGUGGGGGAUAACGCAGCGAAAGUUGUGCUAAUACCGCAUACGUACUGAGGUAGAAAGUGGGGGACCUUCGGGCCUCACGCUAUUCGAGCGGCCGACGUCUGAUUAGCUAGUAGGUGAGGUAAAGGCUCACCUAGGCGACGAUCAGUAGCGGGUCUGAGAGGAUGGUCGGCCACACUGGGACGGGGACACGGCCCAGACUCCUACGGGAGGCAGCAGUGGGGAAUUUUGGAAAAUGGGCGAAAGCCUGAUCCAGCCAUGCCGCGUGUCUGAAGAAGGCCUUCGGGUUGUAAAGGACUUUUGUCAGGGAGGAAAUCCCUAGUGCUAAUACCGCUGGGGGAUGACAGUACCUGAAGAAUAAGCACCGGCUAACUACGUGCCAGCAGCCGCCGUAACAC
rnacentral:rRNA from 1 species